GACCGUUUAGCUCAGUUGGUUAGAGCGCUUCGUUCACAUCGAAGAGGUCGAAGGUUCGAAUCCUUCAACGGUCA
rnacentral:tRNA from 1 species